CGCUGGCGGCAGGCUUAACACAUGCAAGUCGAACGGUAACAGAGAAUAGCUUGCUAUUUUGCUGACGAGUGGCGGACGGGUGAGUAAUGCUUGGGAAUUUGCCUUGUUGCGGGGGACAACAGUUGGAAACGACUGCUAAUACCGCAUAAUGUCUCCGGACCAAAGGUGGCCUCUAUUUAUAUGCUAUCGCGACAAGAUGAGCCCAAGUGGGAUUAGCUAGUUGGUAAGGUAAUGGCUUACCAAGGCGUCGAUCCCUAGCUGGUCUUAGAGGAUGACCAGCCACACUGGAACUGAGACACGGUCCAGACUCCUACGGGAGGCAGCAGUGGGGAAUAUUGCACAAUGGAGGAAACUCUGAUGCAGCCAUGCCGCGUGUGUGAAGAAGGCUUUCGGGUUGUAAAGCACUUUCAGCGAGGAGGAAAGGGUAGUGGUUAAUAUCCAUUAUCUGUGACGUUACUCGCAGAAGAAGCACCGGCUAACUCCGUGCCAGCAGCCGCGGUAAUACGGAGGGUGCGAGCGUUAAUCGGAAUUACUGGGCGUAAAGCGCGCGUAGGCGGUUAAUUAAGUCAGAUGUGAAAGCCCAGGGCUCAACCUUGGAACUGCAUUUGAAACUGGUCAACUAGAGUUUUGUAGAGGGUGGUAGAAUUUCAGGUGUAGCGGUGAAAUGCGUAGAGAUCUGAAGGAAUACCAGUGGCGAAGGCGGCCACCUGGACAAAGACUGACGCUGAGGCGCGAAGACGUGGGUAGCAAACGGGAUUAGAUACCCCGGUAGUCCACGCCGUAAACGAUGUCUACUAGCCGUUGGGAGACUUGAUCUCUUAGUGGCGAAGCUAACGCGAUAAGUAGACCGCCUGGGGAGUACGGUCGCAAGAUUAAAACUCAAAUGAAUUGACGGGGGCCCGCACAAGCGGUGGAGCAUGUGGUUUAAUUCGAAGCAACGCGAAGAACCUUACCUACUCUUGACAUCCAGUGAACUUAGCAGAGAUGCUUUGGUGCCUUCGGGAACACUGAGACAGGUGCUGCAUGGCUGUCGUCAGCUCGUGUUGUGAGAUGUUGGGUUAAGUCCCGUAACGAGCGCAACCCCUAUCCCUAGUUGCUAGCAGUUCGGCUGAGAACUCUAGGGAGACUGCCGGUGACAAACCGGAGGAAGGUGGGGAUGACGUCAGGUCAUCAUGGCCCUUACGGCCAGGGCUACACACGUGCUACAAUGGUGCGUACAGAGGGCUGCAAACCCGCGAGGGGGAGCUAAUCUCACAAAACGCAUCGUAGUCCGGAUCGGAGUCUGCAACUCGACCCCGUGAAGUUGGAUUCGCUAGUAAUCGCGUAUCAGCAAUGACGCGGUGAAUACGUUCCCGGGCCUUGUACACACCGCCCGUCACACCAUGGGAGUGGGUUGCAAAAGAAGUGGCUAGUUUAACCCUUCGGGGAGGACGGU
rnacentral:rRNA from 1 species